CCCGCUCUGCGAUGGUGAGGCGGCCACGAGCGGCGAGCGGCGAGGAAGUCCGGUGCGAAUCCGGCGCGGUCCCGCCACCGUCACCGGACAGCGAACCUCGACGUACGGCCACUGACGCGGGCGGCGUGCCCGCGCUGGGAAGGCCUGAGGGGAACGUGCGCGGCGCGGCUUCGUCCUCGAAGCCCCGCGGCGCGGAUCCGGGAGCCGGGAUACUCGCCUCGCCCGCGACGGGCACG
rnacentral:ncRNA from 1 species